rnacentral:rRNA from 1 species
AAACGACUCUCGGCAACGGAUAUCUUGGCUCACGCAUCGAUGAAGAACGUAGCAAAAUGCGAUACUUGGUGUGAAUUGCAGAAUCCCGUGAACCAUCGAGUUUUUGAACGCAAGUUGCGCCCAAAGCCGUUUGGCCGAGGGCACGUCUGCCUGGGCGUCAC